rnacentral:rRNA from 1 species
AUUGAACGCUGGCGGCGUGCCUAAUACAUGCAAGUCGAGCGAACAGACGAGGAGCUUGCUCCUCUGACGUUAGCGGCGGACGGGUGAGUAACACGUGGAUAACCUACCUAUAGGACUGGGAUAACUUCGGGAAACCGGAGCUAAUACCGGAUAAUAUAUUGAACCGCAUGGUUCAAUAGUGAAAGACGGUUUUGCUGUCACUUAUAGAUGGAUCCGCGCCGCAUUAGCUAGUUGGUAAGGUAACGGCUUACCAAGGCAACGAUGCGUAGCCGACCUGAGAGGGUGAUCGGCCACACUGGAACUGAGACACGGUCCAGACUCCUACGGGAGGCAGCAGUAGGGAAUCUUCCGCAGUGGGCGAAAGCCUGACGGAGCAACGCCGCGUGAGUGAUGAAGGUCUUCGGAUCGUAAAACUCUGUUAUUAGGGAAGAACAAAUGUGUAAGUAACUAUGCACGUCUGACGGUACCUUAUGAAUAAGCACCGGCUAACUCCGUGCCAGCCGCCGCAGUAAGAC